rnacentral:siRNA from 1 species
UGUCUCCGCCAAAUCAUCCGCUGA